rnacentral:lncRNA from 1 species
CGUGGGAUCGAUCCAUACUCGUCGGACGUGCUACAUUGCACACCGUAUGCUUGCGAUAAAUUUAAGACACAUCAAAUUUUUGGUGCCAUUGUCAGAGAAUUUGGCGUGUUUAAAUUGUGUUUCAAAUUUUUGUUCUUCGUAUUUUUAGCCUUAGUUAUUGUAAUUCUUUUCUAUCUUCUUUUAGUUAUUUUAGUCAGAUCCAAAAUCUAUCUUGACAUAUGGUUGUCC